GAGGGGAGAAAGUCACAUUCACAGCCUGCCAUUUGCAGAUGAACACGUCUGGAAGGCAGUCAUGCCUCAGUUGGCUUUCUCUUUCAGACAUGUCUCUUUUUCAAAAUGGGUUUGGAUUUCAUCAACAUGCUUUUCUACAAUAACAACAACAAAACACACUAAGGGGAACCAGAGAACGACUGGCUUGUAUAUAAAUUAUCCAGCAUGAAUGUUGACAGAACAGCAUUCAAGAUCACAAACUCCGUCAUUUGAUUCAUGCUCUAAAUAUAGUCCGUUUCUAUAGUUAUAAUAAUAUACAUCCCUAUAUUACCAAUCGGCUAAUCCUGCCCUCCAGAAAUAUAUAUAAAACCCCACUUGUAUUUCCUAACGGCUUGGCAUUUGUCCUUAUUUAUUUGCCCAUGUCUUCCAUUUUCUUUCUUAUCUUUUAUUUUCGUUCAGUGUGUUUUCCCUUGAGAAAGAUUGGUUGCAUAAAAUGGAGUGUGUACUUGAGCGAGCCUCUGUUCCUGUGGGGUUGAAAGAAAUCUGAUUACCUCCAGUAUGUUGAUGUUUCAACCAAAUCUUACCUACAGUAAAACACCUAUGUGUAUUCAUUUUGAAAUAUUCUUCACAGUCAGCCAUGUACCAGCAAAAUUAUCUUCCAUUAUUAAACCUAAAUACAGAUUUCAAAUCACACUCCUCUUCAUUUUCCCCUUUUUAUUGGUUAUAUAUGAGUCCAUUUGAGAGUUACAGUGACAGGCCAUAUGAAUGAUAAUAAUCUGAAUUGAUUAAUUCUCGUCUAGUAGGUCACUUGUCUGAAAUUACAGUGGCGUGAAAGUCACCUCAAUUAAGACACGACUGUGAGGACGGCACUGGAUAUGACUCCAUAACUAAGCCUGGUAUUCAUUUCUGGUGGUGAGGAAAGCGUUUUGUGGGAAAAAUUAAAGAUUCGAUUUAUGAAUGGUGAACAGCAGCGUGGUUGAGUGAAUUUUCUUUUUUUAAUUUGAAACACUAAUUGCUUAAUCUUUGUGAUCUUAACAGGGGAGAUGAAGCAAGAGAGAGAAAGAGAGUGACUUCCAAAGAAUACCUUACUGUAGUGCCUCUUUAAUAUCAUUAUAGUACAGGGUCCUUGUAAAGCAUCACAAAACCUGCCAUAAAUAUUUAGUUUAUAAUGCCAUAAAUAUUUCAUAAGUGUUUAAUGCAGCGCUGCACCAUAAACAUUAAACAAUGAUCAGUUAAGUUUUGCAUCUAAUAUUUGUUAACAAAAACUAUUUUUAAAUCUUCUUUCCCCACCAGCGUUUUUUUUUUUAAACAGUUGCCAGCCACUUCCAGUGUUUUUGAUCAUUUUCAUAAUUUCUUGGCCCCCAGAAUAUUUUGUUGUAUAAAUAUCUGAACAUGCAAUAUAUCAAAAGAAAGAAUAGAGCCUCUGCUUUUCGACAAAACAAAAUAAGAAUAAAAAAUAGAAAAUCUCAUUUUUUCGAAAACUACUACAUGCAUAAGCAAUGCUUUUAUCACUUGUUUCUGCUUCUUUUUGCCUGUGUUUUGAUCCAGAGAUUCUGUACUCUUUAAGAAGAUGUGUAAUAGCGCCCCUACAGUAUAACAGUGAAAACACGGAAAAUUACGUCAAUGGCGGGGAAGCGUUGUCUCAGAAAUUACGAAAAAUUCUGUCAAUGGUGGGGAAAGAGUUAAUAGAUUAAUUAACAGCAACAACACUGUCUCCAAUGAGGCUCCUCCAUUAAUUGACAACACAAAAAUAAAACAAGACCAGUAUUACUGAAUAAUGUAUAAAUGACUCAUUUUAUACAAAACACCAGCAAAGAACGUUUUUGCCUUUCUUGAGCUUGUGUUCUCAUUGAGGUCCGAAAGCAUGUCAAGAAUGUGAGGGUUGGAACAUGUGAUGAGGCAGGACCUCCAUCACGCUGUGAUUGGCUCAUUACCCUGACGAUGUAAUAUAAAUCCCAUCUAUCAUGUUUGCAACUGUUCCAUUACUAAACGUGUCAAACUAGUGGAAAUGGGUGGAUGAUUUACAAAGUAAACAACACCCACUCCGACAACACCACUGUCAGUUACAUCAGAAUCAAUAUAAACCUGAAAAUGACUUGAAAUGAUGAUCUGUGAGUGAGAUAGAUUUUCCCAAACACUCAGCUCUGUUAAAUUAAAGCUGCACUUCCAUGCAUAGUCAUUUCGUCUGCAGGGUUUACUGAGGCUUUGUUCACUAAUGAUCUGAAAAGGUAAUUGUGCUGAAACCUUGAUGUGAUUUUGUUUUAAUUCAUAUUUUUAUGUUGUUUCUUGCUGUUUUUGUUGUCCAUGUCAGGUAAAUGCUGAGCCUUUAACCUGGAAUUUUUUAAACAUCAGUGGAAAUAAACCAUGAAUUUACCUUCAUUUCAGAAAUCCAGCACAUACCACUGCUCUAUACGCCUUAUUUUUAAAGUAAGGAUUUGUAACUUGAAUGCUCAAGGCUUUCAGUGUUAGUCGCUUCCAGUUAUUUUACCUGUACAAAAACAGUGCUGCUUUAUAUUGCAAAUUGUUACCAUAUUACUUUUAAUGUAUUAUCAUAAUCAUAAACACGCUGGUUUGUAGCGCUAAUGGUAUUACUGUUUAUUGCACUGUUGUUAUUCUUCAAAGAAAAUAGCUUACUUCCUUGUUGCAAAAUAAGGUGGAUGCAAAAGAUUGUAUUCUAUGUCCUUUGUGUAUUUUGAAAGGUAGGGGCAGGGUUAUAGACAAGCAUUGAGUUUAAGGCCCUGUUUACAACUGUAUUGUGUUUUGGUCGAUCGGAUCACAAGUGUACAACACUAAAUACAGGUGUAAACAGGGUGUAAAACAUUUUGAGCUUGUCUACUUUCGACCACUUCCAGAGGUAGGCGAAAACACAUUCGACCGGAUUGCUUUCGUAGUGUAAACGCUCAUGUGAUCAAAUGUGUCUACUCUCCGCCUACUGACCUAAUGAAUAAACAUUAUAGGAAGAGCGCUAACCAGACGGGAUUUAAACUUUGUCGGCUGAAGAUCCAAGUUUGGUUUGAAGAUGAAAAACAUACUAAGCACAAUGUUCUCUCACCAUUCCUGAUUUCUAACACACACUCACAGCGUUCGGCGUGGUCUUGUGGCUAUCAGAGCAGAAACAAAAGCUGCUGCUCUCCGUAUUUUUCCGUAGUCUCCGGGCGUGUUGAUAUGUAAAUUGUGCAAGCUUAUUUUGUCCAUUAGAUUGAAGGAUCUGAAAAAAUCCAUACAUUUACCUGCCCAUAGACCCUCCCCUUGAAGAAAUCAGGGCAAAAGUGGUUAAAAGUGGACAAAAAUGACAGAUUAAAAUACCAGGUGUAAACGAGCAAGUCUCCCUCGUCUACUCGUGACCCAAUCGACCAAAACGCAUCUUAAUAGCAGGUGUAAACCGGGCCUAAGUUUAAAUUUCUUUGAGUUAGCCUUCACCCCAGCCCACCUAAAGCCCUCAUUAUCCGAAAUUCAUAUCAUAACAGCCAUAACACAUCAUAAUGAUAGGAGUGUUAGCAGUGGAGUAAUGUGGAGGAGUGUAAAUGGUGUGAAGUUGAUUAGUCUCUGAAUGUUUAGCAAGACGCCAUGAGUUGAUGCUAAUUGAAGCUGCCCACUCGUAGCGUAGCUGAAUUACUGCAGGGAAACAACCUAAUAUAGUGGCUAUGUUGACACAGGAACAGAAUACAGUGCACUAAAUAGAGUUCUGUUUAUACACCUUUCAUGACAGCUGCGUUCCAUAUCCACAGCGACUUCAUUAGAGUACACAGUUCCAUUUUGAGAAUGAGUUUGGUUGAUAUGUGCUGUAUAAACACAACCAGGUUUGACAACCUGAUGUCUAACAAUGCUAGCACUCUUGGAAUUGUGUUUGUACGAUCAGAUUAAAGAACUGGUACUAAAUCCUUAAAGACACAAUAAAAAAAAUCUUCAUAUAGUUUAUUAUUAUAGUUCCAGUAAAUGUGAUCAAUCUCAAACAAUGAGUGUGUGGCCUAUGUAAAAAUGCAGUGUCACUCUCUAUCAUAGAUAAAAGGAUAUGUUUGGAUGUUAUGAUGGAGAGGGAGACUGAGAUACAGGGAAGCGAAGGCAAUGACUAUAAAGAUGUUUAAUCAGUGAUGUGGAACGUAUGGUUCCAGUAUUCUAACUCUCUAUUUGUCUCACUCUCUCUCUCAUAGAUGAAGGGCAGGACGAAAUUGUGGACGUCUAAGUAAUGGAGGUGUGAAUGGCUGCAGCUAGCAAUGGGGAGUUUGUAGAAGUGGUCAUUCCUCUCUGACCCCCUCAGGACUUUAGAAGCAGAGGACUUCAGACCAUUUGAUAAGCUCCGCCCCUCUUGGAUACGGUUGCUCGCUCAGACCAAAGAGGUUCAAGAAACUACCGUUAGAUCAGCUACCGUUAGCCAUGGAUGCACAAUUCUGGUUUUUGAGCCAAUCAUCUGAGUCAUUAAUAUCAUGUGACUAAUUACUCCACAGAGCCAUAGAAAAAUGAUGACAGUGCUGACUCAGGCUGAUUCAUUCACAGUGAAAAAUAGACAUGACUGCAAUUCUGGGUUCUGGAGAACUGCCAGAUAUUCAGCCGACGGAGAGAGUGGCAGUGACCGGCCGGGACCAUUAACAUGCAGGUCACAUUCUGCCAGUCCUCUGGUCACCAAUCAAUCAUUUAACCAGUUUUUCUGUUUAUGUCACCAAGAGACAAGAUGAGACAAGAGAAGAGACGUGACAUGAUGAGAGGUGAGGAGAUGAGAUGAGAUGAGAUGUGACAAGACAAGAAAAGACGAUAGAAGAGAAGAGAUGAGACGAGAGGAGAGGAGAAAACACGAGAUAGACGAUCUGUGCGGGAACCUUGCACAUCAUCUAAGAUAAAUUCCUAAAUGAAGUGAGAGUGUCGCCACAAAAACUAAUCUCAUUGUGCCUAAAAAGAGACUAAUCCAGUGUGCAAGAUGAACCUGCUCAAUGGAUUAUGCCAUAAUCAGAUUAUUUCUUCAUGAAAUAAUGUACGGGAAUGGUUGAAGACUGACAAGCAGCCAUUCUGAGAACCUUGCCGCAGUACAGCUGCUACAUCAAAGCAGCGGUGCCCAAAGCAAUUAUGGGAAAUCAUCUAGUUUGUCACUCACAUUGGUUCCAAUACUUUACACCUCCCAUCAGUGUGCUAAAAUUAAACACCCACACACACUUCAACAGAAGAAUACCUACAUGGACACACAGAUAAAAGACACAAAUGCUGCCGUAGAGAUGGAGCGAAAGGCAUUAACAUCUGGUAAUUAAGUUGAUUAACUACAACAAUAAAGGGUCUAUCUAUACUUGUGUGUACAUGAGGAAGUCUCUCUGCUAGAGGUUGAGAGGACGACCAGCGCUCUCAGAUCUUGCACCCUUGGGUAAGAAACUCACAAAGCUCUCGCACACUUCCUCACAAUUAGACCUGCAUAGAGACCUUAUCGGCACAGAGAUGUGCUAAUGGUGUAUGCGAGCGAGAAAGAGAGAGAGAAAGAAAGCGAGCGCUGUCCCCCUGAGAGAUAAGGAUCUACAAUCCUCAGAGAUGCCAUCACAGUGAACCUCGGUGUCACUCAGCAUUUACUAGGCAGCGUACUCCCCUUAUCCUAAUACACUGAUAGUGUGCUUACCUCUGUCACACAGUCUCUCAUGUUCUAUUGUGUGUCACCCUUUAUGUCCUCAAUGUCCAUAGGCAAUUCUAGACCCUAUUUAGAAAGGCUUCAGCCACACUGUUUUUAAUCUAGCACCCUUAAAAAUCUGUCAUCAUGGGAUUUCUCUUCCACUUGCUCAAAGGAGCGGUUGCAGUAAGCUAUUUUAGGGUAUUGCCCUCUAAAUCCUCCUCUCACCAAAAAACUUUAAAGUUCAUUAUACAUUUAUCUAGUCAGUAGCACACCCUAGAACCAUGUGACCGAAUGUGUCCCGGUUACUAAUUUAUACUCACUGGUGUUGGCGUAGAAACUGUUAUAACCGAUUUAGAAAUUCCUACCUUCAUCCAUUUUAUAUUCAGUGUUGGGGGUAACUCAUUACAAGUAAUGCGAAUUAUGUAAUAAGAUUACUUUAUCAAGUAACUAGUAAAGUAACACAAUUUACAACAAAAUAUCUGAGUUACUUUUUCAAAUAAGUACUCUGUUUUCCCAUGCAUUGACUGACAGCUCUCCUGUAUAGAGGGUAUGCAUCAACGUCACUUUCCCAACAGGACACGCUCCCUCAGCUGGACUGAGUGGCAAAAGAACCUGCUGCAUGACUGGAUUUAAUAGGGGAAACUGCGAAAACGCGAGUAAAACAAACGAUUACUCUACACCUUGGGCUCGAAAGUGUUCCUUAUAACAUGUCAAAGAAACCUAAUCCAUGGAUAUUGACAUGCAGCCAGGAAUCUUGUUUCCUGACAUUUAUAUGUGCCUGAUUUCGACGCCGGAGAAAUACAUAAAGCAAAUCUGCCAAUGAAAGCCUUAUAUAACUACAAUAUAGGUAGGUCUAAAUUGGAGUGAUCACUUAUAUCAAUGUUAUAUAUAUCGUCCAGCCCUAAAACUUGUAUAGUUUUUGUCAGUGUUUAUUUAAAAUUAUGCAGAAUAUGAGAUGGUAAAUAUUUAAUUUAUGAGUUAUCAACACAAUAUAUAACAAUACAAUAUAUAGGAUAUGAUUUUACUGCAAAAUCCAACAUUUUGACACAAAAUGAUAACUGCAAAUCCAUGUUUCUCUGCCUGGAGUCCAGUUGUUAUGUGAAUUGCAGCGAUCCAUUUGCUUCUUUUUUUCUGUAGCUUUCGGCAGUUUGUAAAAAUAUACCUCAGAUUUUGAGUCAAAGUUGUUUGUACAGUCAAUCGCAAAGCUCUUUCCCGUUUUGGAUGUGUUUUGUGUGUUUUUCGCGACAUUCAUGCUGAAAACCAAUGCUGCCACUCAGUCUUUUGCCACUCAGUGGGCGUAACCGCAGUCAUAACAGCCGUCAGUGACGUCACGUGCAUACCCUCUAUUCCAGAAUGGCAGCACAGCUGAAAGGCUGGUUUGUUUGAACUGCGCCUUCUACUGUACUGUAUUGUAUUUCCUUCAGCCUGACACCGUGUCCUAACCACAGGCGAGGCGAUAAAAUUCCAGCAACUGUCCACACUAGACGUGACGCGACAACGAGAAGCGAUAAGAUUAAUCAAAAACCACAGCCAAUCAGAAGAGAGUGUGGGCGGGAUCUCUCGGCAAGAGCACAGCAGACACAAUGAAAUGGGCAAGUACAUAGUAAAAUUCAUAAAUAUUACACAAUUUAAACAUUAUUUGAAGUACAUACGGUGUGACUGAAACAAACAGUCAAAGAAUACACUUGUUUGUUCGCACUGAGUUGACAGUUUGAACUUGUGCCCAUUUAUUUAUUUUCAAGAUCUGAGGUGAAUUAGCCAGUGUUGUUUUCAUUACAACUAAAAUGCUGGGAACACAGAAUGAUAUUCUCACAUUAGAUGCUUUUAACAUUAAAGCACAUAAACAGUAACUGAUAUUAUCAUUGCCAUACUUUGUGUUGCUGUUCCACCCGCGAUGUCGAGGAGAAAUAUAAACCGUUUCUGAAAUAGAAUCAUCACGUGUCGCCAUCGUGGCUUUUAUCGCGUGUUGCGGCAUCGCGUCGUGUCUGAGGCUUUAUUCAUUUAACUUGGUGUGAAAGGGCCUUUACAUUUGCCAAAAAUAGAACUUUUUGGUGUUAUAAAAACAAACAAACAAACAGCCCAGCCCAGCCCAGAUUAGAAAAAGUAACGCAAAAGUAACACAACACAUUACUUUACAAAAAAGUAACAAAGUAGUUUGUAGUCUAGUAGUUGCUCACUUUGCUUGGCCAAAGUAUGUAGUACAUACUUUCAGAAUAUCUGUAACAACUAUUGGGCAAAUGUUACAUCACUUAAUUAAUAUUCAUGAGGCAGUCUGAUGAACCUCCAACCUCUCAUGUUUCUGUGUUUCUAUGCAAACUUACACUGCAAAAAGUCAAUUCUUGCUCAGCUUUUUUUGUCUUGUUUUCCAUUACAAAUAUAUAAGCAUACUUAAAUCAAGAUACAUUAACUUGAAAAGCAAAAUAAC